UUGAAGCUAAGAUGCCAAAAAUGGCUACAGAUGAAGUUCCCACGAGCCCAGCUAAGUUCUGGAUAUAUCUCAUAACCUAAAAAUGAUAAAUUGUUCUAUUUAAACUAGGCUGGAAAAACUGGAAAAAAAUACCCAUGCGGGGUCAGUGCGGGCCGCGUAAAAUGGACCGCUGCUGUGCUAGGCUCUUGGACUUUAAUUUUGGGUUCUUUGACUUGGGCUUCGCGGAUCGCGUAAAAUGGACCGCGGCCGCGGAGGCAGCUAUCGCGGUCCACACAAUAAUGACCGUAGACCGCGUUAGCAUUUUCCAUCUCUCUGAAUAUCUCUUCCGCGGACCGCACAAGAAGGCAGUUCGGCCGCGGAACCUUCACCGUGGACCACACACUAUGGACUGCGGUCGCGUUUCCUGAGGCCUGGUUUUUGUCAUCUAUCUGAAUACCUCUUUCGUGUACCGCACAAAAAGGCAGUGCGACCACGAAACUUUCACCGCAGACCGCGCACUGUGGAUUGCGGNNNNNNNNNNNNNNNNNNNNNNNNNNNNNNNNNNNNNNNNNNNNNNNNNNNNNNNNNNNNNNNNNNNNNNNNNNNNNNNNNNNNNNNNNNNNNNNNNNNNNNNNNNNNNNNNNNNNNNNNNNNNNNNNNNNNNNNNNNNNNNNNNNNNNNNNNNNNNNNNNNNNNNNNNNNNNNNNNNNNNNNNNNNNNNNNNNNNNNNNNNNNNNNNNNNNNNNNNNNNNNNNNNNNNNNNNNNNNNNNNNNNNNNNNNNNNNNNNNNNNNNNNNNNNNNNNNNNNNNNNNNNNNNNNNNNNNNNNNNNNNNNNNNNNNNNNNNNNNNNNNNNNNNNNNNNNNNNNNNNNNNNNNNNNNNNNNNNNNNNNNNNNNNNNNNNNNNNNNNNNNNNNNNNNNNNNNNNNNNNNNNNNNNNNNNNNNNNNNNNNNNNNNNNNNNNNNNNNNNNNNNNNNNNNNNNNNNNNNNNNNNNNNNNNNNNNNNNNNNNNNNNNNNNNNNNNNNNNNNNNNNNNNNNNNNNNNNNNNNNNNNNNNNNNNNNNNNNNNNNNNNNNNNNNNNNNNNNNNNNNNNNNUUUUAGUACCUUUUACCACUUGUUCCUUCUCUCGUAUCUCCCCCAAACUUAGACUUUUGCCAUUGCUCAAAGGAAGAUCGAGUGCCGAAAGAGGGUAUAUUUUAGAAUGGAUAUAGGCUGAUAGUAUUGGUUGUUGAAAGAAAAAGGUUUAAGGCUCAAAAGGGUUAACUAGGGAGUAAAUCAUUGGUGGGCUAUGAAAUUGUUCAACUAUCAUUUGGAUCAAGGAGAGCCUAUAAUCACUUCUCAAGCCAAAUUUCACUUAAGAUUUCGCCUAAACAGACAUUCAGGGCAAGUUCUAGACCAUUGGCUCAGAACUUGGACUCACAAUUCAAUUUCUCACCGCACAAGCUCAAGGAUUGUUAAAGACAUAGAGUCGGGGACCCACAACAACCUUAGACACGAUUUGAGCACACAAUGGUCCCGAAAGACCACAUGAUGAUUGUUUGGUCUACACAAGAGUCUCAAGGUCACGACUUUCACCAUCCUAAACACAACGAAUUGUCUUUGACUAUGGGAUCAAAGACAACUGUGUUAAGCCCAAAUGAAGCUUUGCUUGAGGAAACCUUAACUACAUAUCUAGCAUCAACUGCUUAAACAACUAGCAUAAAAAUAGAUCACGUAUUUUUAGAGUUCCAUUAACAAAUUUAAUUGUUAUUACCAUUUUCAUGAUAAACAGUUUGACGCCCACUGUGGGGCUAAAAAUAAUAGUGAUUAUUUUCUUGCUGGUUUCGUCACACAAUGCAAGUUAUCUUUCACACUUUUUCUUGUCCAAGAUCUUCAACUUCAGGUCAAAAUGUUUGGCUCAGCGAACAGAGUUGAGAACGACAACCUUGAAGACCACGGAGAAAAUGGUGUGGUUGUUCCAAUUAUUAGGGUGCCACCACAAAACCCCAACAACGCGCCUGGACUGAUUCCAGCGGAUGCGGGUUUGCAUGACGCCCAGCUCGGGAAGAACGGGAAGUCAGCCUUCAUGUUGAUUUUGAAAUGUUGCAGGCAGAACAAUUAGCUAUCGCUCAGCUGCAGAGCCACCCGAAGACUCCCAGAACAGUAGCACCGGAAACUACUCCCCCUACCGAACAGGUACUAGAGAGAUCAAGCAACAACGGAUCAGUAGCCGAUCCUUCCAUCAUAAAAAUGCUUGAGGACCUCACCAAAAGGAUCGAGAAGGGCGAGAAAAUGAUAGCAGCCAACGACAAGAAGGUCGAAACCUAUAACUUCAGAGUUGACCAAAUCCCCGGCACACCCCCGGUCCUGAACGGUGUAGAUUCGAAGAAGUUCGUACAACGGCCGUUCCUAGAGGAAGCGGCUCUGAAACCUAUUCCAAAGAAGUUCAGAAUGCCAGAACUCCCAAAAUACAACGGGACCUCAGAUCCCAAUGAACAUGUCACUGCCUAUACAUGUGUAGUAAAGGGCAAUGACAUAAAAGACGAUGAGAUCAAUGGAAACGCUCUCGAAGGGGGCCAUGAUAUGGUAUCACAACAUGGAUCCAAAAUCCAUUGAUUUAUUCACCAUGCUAGCAAACUCCUUCAUAAAGGCACACCCUGGUGCCAUCAAAGUAGAACAAGGAAGUCCGACGUAUUCAAGAUUAAGCAGAGGGAGAAUCAAAUGCUACGAGAAUUCGUAUCUCGCUUCCAAACGAAACGAAUGGAACUACCCUUGGUAUUUGACGACUAGGCGGUGCAGGCCCUCACACAAGGCCUGAACGAACGAAGCUUAGUAGCCUCAAGGCAGCUGAAAAAGAAUCUGAUCGAGUACCCCGUUGUAACCUGGUCAGACGUUCACAACCGGUACCAGUCAAAGAUCAGGGUCGAGGAUGACCAGUUGGGAGCACCCUCGGGCUCAGUAUAUCCAAGUAGACUCCUGGCGAAGGAGUCAAAACCGGACAAAGAGAUGUAUCAACCGUACACCGAAGAUAGGAGGAAUGCCCCGAGGCGCAACCCGCCUCGCAACGAUCGAUUGGUGAGCCGAGGAUAGAAUUCUCAGGGACUCAUCAAUAGAGGCAGAUUUGAUGGGGACACGGGGCCAACAGGGGCACCUCGCCUAUCAAAAUACAACUUCAACGUCGAUGUAUCAGACAUCGUGUUUGCCAUCAGCAAAAUCAGGGACGCCAAAUGGCCCAGGCCUAUACAGUCGGACCCUUCACAAAGAAACUAUAACUUGAUAUGUGAGUUUCACCACUCGCACGGGCAUAGAACCGAGGAUUGCCGACAACUCCGGGAGGAGGUGGCCUGGCUACUCGAUAACAGACACCUUCGGGAGUUCCUCAGCAACCGAGCUAAGAACCAGUCCCGAGAAAGAGAAACCACCAAAAAUAACAAAGCAGACGAGUCCCAACACGUCACCCAGAUGAUCUUUUAGGACACACCCUCGGUUGUGUUCAAAUAAAGGACCACAUCGCGUCCGCCAAACAAAUGCCAAAACCCAAGAGUGCCAUCGCCACUAAGGUAUAAUCAUCCUCCCCUUUCUCUAUUUUUACUUCAUGAUAACUUUUGCAUAGGCCAUCGACCAAAUUAGUCGAGAUGACGAUCCAUCUCGAAAACCUUGGGGUUCCGAGGCGUCCGUUGUACUCUUUUCCUUCGACCGAGUUUUAAUCCCAUAAUGGGUUUUUAUCGGCAAGGUUUUUAGCGAGGCAAUGUCCACACGCUACCUAAGGAGGAUCCAACAAGUGUACAAGGCUUCUUUUGCAAUCAACCCCGAACACUGGAGGGCACCCCCUUGAGAGGUCAUCCACUCGGAAGAACCAGUGAAUGACAAACAAGGUUCCUAUAGGAAACGAUGUACCAAGCGAAAUAGUCACAUCAACCGUGUCCGCAGAAGUCGUGCUCAUGACAACAAAACAACAUGUACUUAUGCCAAACAAUCAAAAAAUAUCUUUCGCCAAAGCAUCUCGUACUCCAAAAACAAUUCAGUAUUUUCACAACAAGGAUCCCUCCACCGAGAACACCCCGAAAUACUCCGAGACUAAUGUCAAUAACUAGCCACCCGCAUGGCCUCAGGGUUGGAACUUCACACUCAUAAGCCCUCAGCGAGGAAGCACGAAAGUCACGAAACAUCUCCAAAAGGGAGAAAAUGUCCCGGACACUUGGAGACUAGCAUCGCUAAUUAGGAAAGCAUAUGACCCCAGGGUCGGAAGCUCCAAAAUUGUAAGCCCUCAAUAAGGUAAUUCCGAGUUCACGAGUAAUGGCCCCCGAACCUAAGCAAACUCAAUGACUUGGAGACUAUCGCCAAUCGCCACUCAUCUAAAAACCCGAGGCCAUAAGACCCCGGGCGGGCAGACUCGGUCUAGUAAGACCUAUCUAAGACAACAACAAAACUGUAAGACCUCAAGCAAGGCAUGAAUCAUACUUGUACCAAGUAGCAAUAAAAUUUUAAGACCUCAAACAAGGCAUGAAUCAUAUUUUCAGCAAGGCAUGAAAAUUUUGUAAGACCUUACUACAUGCAUAAACUCAAUCCUGAAGUUUAGGCUAUAUGUCUCAUUUGUCAGACUCCUAAAAGGGCAUACCCUCAAUAUAGACGCCUAAGCUACUACACUCGAGAUCAAAAAUGGAUCCGGCCAAAACAUAAAUGACCACGGUCAGAUGGCUGUACCAGCCAAAUUAACGAGACUCGGGGACGCCCGACCAUCGCUACAAAAUAAUAAGCCAUCACUUCGAAUCUAUUUCGAAAAGAACCAGUUAAACAGGCUACCCUCGAUAGGCAAAAGAGCUUCGACCAUGUCAGCUCCAAAUCACAAGGCUUAGAGCUACUCAACCUACGAGCUAAACCUUCCGAGGUGCUUGAACAUUGCCGCAAACGACUUGAAAUCGAGGUUCUUCCCAAACGGACGACGGGUCAAGCAAAAUCAUUUCAAAAAAUACCUUAACGAGAAGAAAACAAAGCCUACAUAUGCCUAAGGGCAAAGCGUAAGAGCCAUUGUCGCCAGCCUAAUGAGCAUUAGGGGCACACACUUAAAGGUCACAUCGACCAAAAGCGUAAGAGCCACUGUCGUCGGCUUAAAAUUUGAAAGCUUGAGGGUCAAAAUGAGCUUGAGUCGUAACCCGAUUUGGAGACCGAACCCAAAAUAGUUAAGUAUAUAUGCCUAAGGGCAAAGCAUAAGAGCCAUUGUCGCUAACUUAAUGAGCCUUAGGAAAACACAUAUAGAAGGUCGCUUCGACCCAAGGCAUAAGAGCCAUUGUCGCCAGCCUGCAUAAAUACAAAACUUGAGGGUCGAUUGAGCUCGAGUCAAAACUCGACUUAGAGACUGAAACCAAAAUAGUUAAAAUGCAUAUGCCCAACGGCAAAAGUUAAGAGCCGUUGUCGCCAGCCUAACGAGCCUCAGGGCAGUACCAUGGAUUUAAAGAUUUUUACUAGCUCAAAGGCGGAAUCGACCUGGCUGAAAUCUUGACAAAUAGAAACAUAGAAUACACAAAUUGUAGGGUUCCCCUUUAUACAUACAUGCGAUAUAAUACAAACUCCAUUUAGAACAUACUGUGAAAGCUAUGUACACAAGAACGAGGCAGGGAGUAAAACGUCCCCUCUCCGAGACUAUGGUCCGGCGACCCCUUCCUCGCCAUUUUCAGCAUCAGACAGAAGGAACUUGGCAUCAUACUCCUCCCCUUUAGCUUGCUCGAUCUCUUCCGAAAGGUCAAAGCCCCUAGCGUGAAUCUCCUCGAGGACUUCCCUCCGAGGUUUGCACCUCGCAUACUCCUUGCUGCUGCUCGUAUGAUCAAGGGCUCUAUUCAGAUCAGCUUUAGCAAUGGUAACACUCUUUAAAUAGGCCAUCGUUUUCUAUCCCGUCCUGGUGUUGAUCAUCACAACCUUGGCCCAGACAUUAACCACCUCGGCCUUCGCCUUCAAAAUCUCGGCCGAAGGCCUCACAAUAAUAUUCGCCCGUACAGAAUCAUUCAUGCGAACGGUUUGGAUUUGUGCCUCAAGAGCAGAAACUAUGGCUAAAGCACUCUCUUUGGCAGCAAAAUGGGUACUUACAUGCACCUGCAGCUCAUGAAUUUGCGUUUGGCUCGACCAAUCUCGCCCCAGAGUUGUCCUAGCUCCUCUUCCUUGCUCUCCAACUAAAAUAUCAAAAUAUCAAGCUACCGAGAUGAAAAAGGGAGUGCAAGCCAGCAUGGAAUGCAGGAUACCUGUCUUUCUAGGCAGAUCUCACGGCUCCGGCUCCAUCCCACCUUGCACCGUAGGGAAACCAUCUAACUUUCCUUUUCCACAUAAUGAAGCUUAAGGGAUUUUUCCCUACCCAAAGCCUCCCGCAACGGGGCCUCACAGUGGAGCAACUCGGAUUUGAGCCUGUCGAAGGCCUAUGAAAGAAAACUAAAUGAAAAAAGAAAGGCACAGGACCAAAAUAAUCUUAUACCAAUCAAAAGCUCACCAUAAGGCCGAGCCGCCGAGCCUUGCCAAUAUCCGAUGGCUUACUUCCUUCAGAAGGUAGCCGAUUGACCGAAUCACUUUUUCUUAACCGCUGAGAAAGAGUCGCCCCACUGCAAGCUCCUUCACCCCGGAGCGUCUUUUCGUUUGUCGUCAAUCCUCGAUCCCGAGGCCAGCAAUCUCUCCUCCUCCCCCAUAGGACAUGGACUCAUUUUGGAAAAAUCUCCAAUACCUGCGGUAGUUGAGUUAAUAAGCCGACAAGAAAAGCGCCAUUUUUAGGAAACAAAGAACCGAACACCUACCAUGAUGCUUCACCUCCCAUAUCCCUUUGGAUAGAUCUCUCCACCGGUGCCUAUCAUAAAUCAAGCAAGCUGCCAGCUUACGAGACCACUCGGCCAAAUCAGGGACCUUGUUCGGUGACCAAUGAGUUGCUACAAAUAUAGAAUGGAAAGAUAUCAUUACGGAGCCUGCCUCUAGUCAAAAUGAUGAUAAUUCAGAUGAGACACUUACGUAUGAUGUUCCACUUCUCAGGAAACAGAAAAAGUAUCUAGGGAUGACAUCGAUCGUUCGAAUCCGAAUGAACCGAGUCAUCCAUUAGCGAUCCUCGUCCUCUUCAUUACCGACGACAGGAGAUCGAGUGGAUCAAUGCUGGAGGGAAAUCAAACCCUGAUAACAUAGUGGCCGAUAACCUCACGAGAUGGCUGAGGGUAAAUUCUAUCCCGGCCUUAUUAGCAAAAUAUCUCAUCAUUUGUACUAUUUUCCAAAGGAAGGGGUGAGUUUGCGCCAAUGUAAGACGAUAUCUCCUGCAUAAAUCAGGCACAACCCAGUUGGGGGGACCCGACGCAAAAAUAUACGUGUAUACACUCAAAAACCCCUCGACGUAUGUCGUGACGCUCUUUUCGGUAGAAGAUACUUGUAAUGCCGCACCUUCUACCCAUCCACAAUCUUUUCUGAUCGUUUCGAGUUUUUUCCUCUCCCACUAAUGAGAUGAUCCUCGACACAUGCUCCCGGUGACCCGGAACAUUGGGAGGCCUCCCCAACGUGAGGGCUCUCCUUGAGGCAGGGCACCCCGAGGCCCGCUCACCGGGCACCGGCGAUACAUCACUAUCACCAACCGAAUGUUGAGGAUAGGAAGAACUCCCCUCUCCUUAGAGGUCGGACGCCGACGUUGCAUUCAUUACUACGAUAGAAUAUGGGGGAAAGAUGUGGAUUUGAGAAAAAAAUUCUAAGUUGAAGCAACGGACGGACUAACACAAAACGCCAGGCUGUGUGGAAAAGGUAAUCUCUCAUAGUAGCACAAUCACCAGUGGAAAGGCACGUGAAUGAAUAUAUAGGGGCAGAGCAGCAACUGCCCGCCUACCCAAAAGGCCAAUUAAUUUUGGCCGCAUUAACAUCACCCUCUCCUAGGGAAACGUACUGAAAGAAUCACCCCGGGUCCCCCCUUUAUCAUGUCGAGCAAAUGUUGCAAUCCAGCUGAAUUCGAGAAACUAGGGGCCUUGGGGGCUCCUCAGUAUUGCCAACAUCGGCCCGUUAGAAGUUGUCGAUUUAACCCCGAGGCAUAGUCCAAUUUGAGGGUACCGAUCGCUCCAAGAACGGAUUUCAAAAGGCUAACGUCAAAAGUAGAAAGUCUAAAUCUGCGAAAGCUGAGGAACAAAAAGAAAAGAAAGAGAAAAAAGCUGGAAAAACAGAAAGCAUAAAAGUCCCUCUUUUCACUUUGCCAAAAACGUAUCCAUAAGACACAACUUUACAAAAUCCAUUCCCCGGGGACUACAUACAAAAGGAAAAAGAAAGGAUGCAAACGACUUGAGGACUACUCUUCAUCAUCACUAUAAUUGCCCUCAUUUGGGACAAUUAAAAGCGCCAGUUCUCUCUCCAGUUCGCUGGCUUCCUCGAGAUCAACUAACAGAUAGAUGCCCCGGGCUCCUAUCUCCUCCAUGGAUUCUCUCUUCGCCUCUACCUUAGUGUGAUCAACAGCCCGAGCUAGCUUCUGCUCGGCUGCUAUCGAUAUGUCACGAGCUAUUUUAUGCGCCGUGGCUACAUCAUCCAGAUAAAUGGCAGCAUUUCUUUCAAUCUUGGACUUGGCUGCGACCGAGGCAGCAACUUCCUUGCGAGCAUUCUUGAGAAGAUCAUGGGAUAAUGCCAACUCCUCAGUAGUUACCUCACUUUGCUUCCUCAGCCCGAGGAUCUCUUCGCACCUCCGCCUUAGCAUGAUAAUAGCCCGAGCUAGCUUCUGCUCGGUUGCUAUCGAUAUGCCACAAGCUAUUUUAUGCGUCGUGGCUUCAUCAUCCAGAUAAAUGGUAGCAUUUCUUUCAAUCUAGAACUUGUCCGCGACCAGGGCAGCAACCUUAUUGCGAGCAUUCUUGAUAAGAUCAUGGGAUGACGCCAACUCCUCAGUAGCUACCUCACUUUGCUUCCUCAGCCCGAGGAUCUCCGCGUUCAGUUCUGAUCUGUGAACCAUUUUGCUCAACCUACAAAAGAAAGGUAAGCCAAUUUGGGUUGGAAUGUGGGAGCAAAGGUCGGGUACGAGCAGGGCGAGGUACCUGCGCAGCGAGCUCAGCCUUUUCCCGAAGCGCUCUCUCCGAAGCAGCUCGGAGUUCUCCCAAUUCUUUCUCUCCCCGGGCAGAGUGAGCCUCCGAAUCUUGUAGCAUCAAGGUAAGCUUCUUACACUCCCCUUCACGGUAAGAAAGCUCCUCACGAAGCUGAACGAAGGCAUGAUCAUACAUAUCCUUGCACAACUACAUAACGAAAAAGUUAGAAAGACAAAGAAUGACACCUAAGACUGAAAGAGAAAUAUAUGAGAGAUAACUAUCACCUGCCACAUGAACCUCUUCGCUACCUUGAUUAUGCCAGGAACGUCAAGACCGAUACUAUCGCUAACACCAUCGAAGAUGUUGGCACAAGAGCCUCCUCCUUGGAGAGGAAUCCCUAUUUUGGGGACGUUCGCUUCUUUAGCGUCCCUCAAUUCCCCUAACGAGACCUGAAAUCAUGAGAUAAAAUCAUUCAUGUCGCCAAUUUCCCCAAAAGUCAACCCUUGCUCUUGAAAAGCUCCGGUCCCCGACCCUUCAAGAUCGAUAGUAGCGGUCCCCCCAACGAAAACUGCACCAAACCCAGCCAUGCGAUCUGAGCCACAUCAACACCCCCUCAAGGGUCUCUAGUCUACGGGACCGACCUGCGUCGGCCAUUUUAGAUUCAACAGUCUCCGAUCGAGGCACCUGCGAGGCUCCCGCAUUUGACCUCAUCCUCUGGGCCAACUGGCAUUCAUCGUCGCUGUCAUCCUCACCCUCGGCACCAGGAUUUGUCUCUGAAGUUGAAGUAGAGGUCCUAGUAGUGGUUUGAUGUUCGAGUAACCUGGAUUUCUUUAUCGUACAAAGGUCGACAACCGCCUUUCCUUUCCUCUUCUUACCAUUCCGAGGAUCCGAAGCCUCCGUCCUACCACCAGGGGGCGGCCUCAUCUCCAUAUUCUCGCCAAGGCCUGCACAAGCAUGAUAACCAUAAUUUGUCAGCACGAGGAAUGUAGGGAGAAACACAGAUCUAAGACAUAGGCAGCAGAGAAGCUCUACCAUGAUUCUUGGCCACACAUCGCUCAUUGUCCAGGUCGGUCCAACAUCGAACAUGAUACGGGAAUGCGACGUCCAACCGUCUGAUCCACCCUAGCAAGUCCGAAACUACCUCAGGGUACCAAGCAGCGGCUAUGUGAAACGACAAAGAGAUCAUCAUUCAGGGAAAAGGGAAGAAAAUUGCAAAACAUGGUUAAGAGAUAAUCGCUUAUGCUGUAUGUUCCACCUCUCUGGGAAAGGCAUAUUUCGAGCUAGAAUGAAGUCCGAGGCCCUUACUGGACGAACCUAUUCAUCCAUCCUCGAUCCUUCCCUUCGCCGAUGCUCGAGAAAAAUGAUUUCUUGGAUCAAUUAUGGAGCCUGAUCAAACAUCGAUAAAAUUGAGGGUUGUAUAGCCUAAUCAAAUGGUUGAGGGUAAAAACCUCGCCCCCAACCCUUCGGUGAAAUGACGGAGCAUUAAUACUAUCCUCCAAAUAGAGGGAUAGAUCUGACCGAGCGUCACUUGAUAUUUGUCGCAAAAAUUUUAGGAUAACCGGAUCUAUUUCUGGGGAAGAAGGUUCAGAAGAUUCAGAGGACUCAGUAGGACACAAGGUUAACGGGUAGGUAUACACAUAAAGGAAGUCGUCCUUGUAGUCCGUUAUAUUUUCAUCAGGGCUGGGAAUUUCCACCUGCACUGCCUUGCCCCAUCGGUAGUCCGUCUUCACUGUUUCGAUAUUGGUCACGAUACUAAUGUAUUGGGAAACAUGUUCACAUCGGCCCGGAGUGGAUGAAGUGGCAUCGACGGUAAAAUCUUUUGACAUGUCAAGCUUGGAGGGAGUGCAAUGUUCCAAGGUGGGUACCGCUUUGGCUUUCUCUUUGGACGACCGAGACGAAGAUGCAACUUUGUUCCGCUGAGGAACCAUUCAAGAAGUCCUGGCCAUAUCAAUGGUAAAAUUUCCUCUCAGUAAGAAAGAUGGAAGAAUGUAAAAGAAGAUGGGUAUGAACUAUUGAAUCUGAAGAUGCUACAAAAAUGAGGAUUAUCAAACAGCCGAUGUAUUUAUAGGAACCGCUUGGGCAGCGGAAAGGACGAGCCAAUAGCAACUCGUGGGUUCCUCGAUAAUUGCAUUUGACGGCAACCCUUGCACGGUUUUUUGGGACAUGGCAUUUAAUGCUCUUAUAGGAUGACGUCACAACAAUGAUGCUCUCAGAACGACGGCUCAAAAUCGUUUCCUAUUACUUCAUUCCAGGAAACGCGAAGACUAUCUGUAUACGGUGAAAUCGGAGGGUCCAAUUCCUCAUUAUUGAGGUGUUUCAGGAAAUCAUCUCGAGAUCUCGAGGCUGCAAGAUUGCAGUCGAGUUCUCUCCCUCGAUGUUCAUUUACGCCCGACCCAACGACGAUGCCAAGGAUGGGGAGUUCCCAAGGCGAGUGGAUAGCACUGGUAGAGCCUGGUGUCACAUCUAGUCAUCCUAUCUCCAUACCUUUACAAUUAAUGAAUUUUGUACUUUGCUAGGAUUCCCCUCCUAUAUAAAGGGGAUCCUUACCACUUAGUAAAGGGCUGUUGUUGCUCUAGUUAUUCUAUAUGUACAAGAACUCUCUCCUUUCUCUCUAACAUAUUCCCUCGAUAUUGUUGCUCUUACUUACCACUUUCAUACUUAUUCUUCAUUUAUUGUUUAUUAUUGGACAUAAAAAGCCUCUUUUAAUUAUAUCCUAGCUAUUAGCCCUCUCCCAAUUAUCCACAAUAGCUCAAGCCCGAGCCCAAGCAUGGACCUCGAGGCCCCUCAUCGGUUGGCCCGAGGACUGAGUAGCUAACCCCUUGGUUUGAUUAUAUCUCUAUUUUAUCUUGAAUUUCAUCUUCUAUCUUCACAUAUCUAGCAUCAAAUACUUAAACAACUAGCAUAAAAAUAAAUCACGUAUUUUUAGAGUCACAUCAACAAAUUUAAAUAUUAUAACCAUUUUCACGGUAAACACCCUAAUUCUUUGUUAACCUUUCACCGUGUUAAAUCCCAAACACUAAGCAUGAACACUAAACAUACGAUUUAGCAGGCUCACUCGUCUUAAAUAAACCACCACAUAGCUCAAUGUAGACAUUCCAAAGUACACCAAACAAUUUUACCAAACCAUUGCAGUAAUCUAACAUGACCUAACAUGAAAACUAGAACUAAACAAAGAAAGAAUUUCAGUUCAUUUAAAGACUUACCCAUUCUUCCAAACAUUAUUUUUAUACUAUGAAAUAUCGAGAACACAUUGUUUUGCCUUAAUAAAGUACUCCAGUAAUAUAAAGAUAAUGGCAAAAUCACCAAGUCAUGAAUCCAAACAGUGGUGAAAUAAAUUUCCAAAGCAGUGAAUUGAUUUCUUUAGCAACUAAGAUUAAGCUAUUGAAUCCUCUUACGUACGUUCCAUGAUCGAAGUCAAAAGAAAGGGAACACAUACAGACUAUUUUUUGUCUCCAUAAAAAUAACUCAUACACUCUAACAAGUAUUCAUCAAUCAUACAUACAUCAAUAAGUUAAUACAAAGUUAAAAGAGCAACAACUUAAUAAAAGGGAAUGUAGCAAUUCUAGGAUUAAUCAAACUUCAAUCACACCAAAAUAAAGCAGGGGAGAUUAAGAAUAACCUGAAAUUUAGAUUUCAAUUAAUUUUCAGUAGCUGAAUAGCCGAAAAAAUAGUCCACAAUGAGCCAAGUAAAGAUAGAGACGAAGAUGAACCGAGCUUAACUAAGCAGCAACAACGAUUUCAGCAAAAAUAGUCCUUUAAUAGCUCGAUCUAAACUCGAAAAUCCCAGAUAUUGCACAGAAUGUCAGCUAAGUGAAGCAACUUGUGAAAUCUGGGAAGAAAAGAAAUCAAGCUCUUCUCUUCAAAUCCCAAUGUCUAAUUCUUAUUUCUUCUUUGUUUUUUUUCUUUAUCUCUUUGUUUUUUCCCCUUUUUCAGAAUUUCAGAUCUUUCUUUGAGUCCUAAGAGAGGUGAGACGAAGAGGUGUGAGCAGACCGGAAGGGGUGAUGGUCUGUUCUUCACGGUGGUCGCUUGGGUUGAGUGAGAAGUGGGGAAGAAGAAAGAAUGGAUAAGAGGAAGAAAUCUCAGAUGCGCCGUUUCUGUGGUUUCUUUCAAGGGGAGGGGAAUUGAAUUAGGUCUCUAGCCUUUUUUCAAAAUAGGAAGGUCUCCUUAUUAGAUUAGAAAAUGGGGUUUUUAAAGGAAGGGGUCCGAUUGGGCCAAUUAGGGAAUGGAUAGGGAAAGUUUGGGUUAUUUCGGUAACUGGGCCGAUGCAAAUUCCCUAGACCAAUUGCAAUGAAGAAUAAACAAGUCCCUUUCUUCUCUCUUUGUAUUUUAAACUUAGCCCCUUAAUUGAAACACAAUUUCAAAUUGAUUUUUAAAGAAAUGUCCUAUUAAACUAAUUGAUUAAAGCUAAUGUACAUUUUUUGUGAUUUUCAUGUAUUAAUCUAACAAUUGAAGAGUAAUUAAUUUCUAAAAAUGCAAAUUAAACCUAAGAUGACAUGAAAUGAAAAAUGUGACAAUUUUUAUGAUUUUAAAAUAUUAAAAAUGAUGAAAUGCAACUAAAUAAAGAAAAACUCCUAAAAUCCAUUAAAAUUAUUUUUGGUCUAUUUUUAGGAGUUAUUUCCAUGCAGGGCAAAAAUUAGGUGCUCACAGCUGCCCUCUUUGUUCGGAAACAUGAAGAGUUUAUGGGCAAAGAUAAGUGAGCAAUUACGAGCAAUUUUUUCUUGUUUGAAACUCCAUGGGAAGCAUUUUUUGAAAAGUCUGACCAAACCUUGCUUCGGAGGUUGCCUACAUAUCCUUGACUUUAAAGAAAUCAGGUCGGUAUAGUUCUGGAAAUUUUGGUAGCUGGGACUACCGAAAAACUGCAAUUUCCUCCUUAUUACACCAAAGUCAAAGAUGAAAAAGAUUAACUAAGCCUAUAAGCUACAAGUUAGAAGAUUCCUAUCUAUGAGUCUUCUAAAGCUUGAUCUUGAGUCUUGUCUAGUUCUUCACACAGACUUUGAUCUGAAUCUUGAUGCUUGUUAGCUGUAGUUACUGGUUCAAUCUUCUUCAGCUUUUUCAAAUCAAACUGAGAUAUGCGAAGCUUGCGACUUCAAUCAUAUCUUGAACAGUCCACAUUUUUUCUCCGCUUCUGCACUUUAAGUUCGCUUCUUUUUAUUUUCUUUUUGUUUUUCUUUUAUUCGAGAUUGAGACUUUUUCUUUUGGUUGUUUCGAACCUUUUGUCUCGAGGUGUAACCAGCUCAGAAACCAAAACAAACAAACGAACAAAAAUUUUUCUGCCCCAGUUUUCACUAGGAAUAUUUUGUGAGUUAUUGUAACCAAAACUCUAUACUACUUCAUUAUUGGAAGCAAUAAAAAUCAGGAUUGUGUAUCCUUGGGAAUAAGCGAUUAGGGAGUGGUGACUCUAUGUUUAGAAUGAAAUCAACAAGGGAUUGGAGACCCUUGUAUGCGAUGAAGUCGGGGGAAUCCAUUUCCCGCCAUUAAGGUAUAUUCGAAAUGUCAUGACAGCAUCUCGAGGAUAUGGGAUCAUGAUCGGGCUCCCUAUCUCGAGGAUCAUCCACGGCCCUGCAGUGGCUCUGAGGUUAAGGGAUCUGUUCGCGGCCUAGAAAGAGUUAUGAAGAUGGGGGACUCCCGAGGCAAGCAUCUAGAAUCAAUAGGCUCUAGUGUCUUGUCUAGUCGUGCCAUCCCCGUAUCUUUACAUUUAAUGCAUUCUGAACGAUACCGUAUUCCCUCGCCUAUAUAAGGGGAACCCAUACCAUUUUGUAGGGGACUGAUGUUGCUCCAUUUCUCCACAAAUGCAAUAAUAUCUCUCUCUCUCUCUCUCUCUCUCUCUCUCUUUUUCUAAGUUGUUCGCUCUCACUGGCCUAUGGCUAUUUUAGCAUUUAUCAUUCUUUUACUUGUUCUUCACUAUAUCAUUCAAUAUUUGCAGCAUAGAGCCUUGCUCGAUCAUAUCUUUGCCCGUUACCCCAUUCCCGACUACCCUCGAUAGCCCAAGCUCGACUCAAAACUUAGCCUCGAGGCCCCCGUCGACCGGCUUUGCAUCCGGGCAACAGGCCCCCUUUGGUUUGAUUACUGCCUCGUUUUAGCUCGCUUUUCAUCAUUAUACUUAAAAUUCUUAGCAUAAACUGCUUUAACAACUAGCUCGAGAAUAGGUCACGUAUUUUUAGAAUCUCAUUUGCAAAUUUAAUUGUCGUUACUAUUUUCAUGGUAAACAGUUUGGCGCCCACCGUGGGGCUAAAAAUAAUAGUGAUUAAUUUCUUGCUGGUUUCGUCACAUAGACGCACAUUAUUUUCACACUUUUUCUUGUCCAAGAUCUUUUGAUUUCAGGAUAACGCCCAGCUCGGUAAGCAAAAUCGAGAACGACUACCCCGAAAGUCACUGCAAAGACAAUAUGGCUUCCCCGGAGGUUGGCACAACAUCGCAGGACCCCGAUAACGCAUUUGGAUAGAUUCAAGCGGAUGCGGGCUUACAAGAUGCACAAUAGGUCAACAAAGCCUCGCGCACCAAUGGUAGCACACAAUGUGUUGACCAACAGGAAGCUCAAAAAACCCUGGCCCGGGUAGAAUAGGAAGUUAGUCUUCAUGUUAUUUUUGAAAUGCUGCAGACACAACAGUUGGAUAUCGCACGGCUGCAAAGUCGCCCGGAGACUCCCAACGCAGUAGCGCCGGGAACAUCUCUUUACGUCAAGCUAGUACCUGAGAGAUCAAGUAACGACGGAUCGGUAACUGACCCCGCCACAAUGAGGAUACUUGGGAAUCUCUUCAAAAGAUCAUUAGGUUUGUGGAAGCUCUUACAGCAACCAUCUCCCGAGGAAACGGUCCCAGAACUCGCUUUACAGAAAUCCGGAACGCCGAAACUCCCUAGGUGCGACAGGAUCUCGGAUCCCUAUGGGCGCACCAUUACUUGCGCGUGCUUGUUCAGAGGCAGCAACCUCCAAGAUGAUGAGUUCGAACCUGUCUCGCUGAGGAAGUUCGAAGAAACUCUUUCAAAAGAAACCAUGACGCAGCGCAACUGCCUGACACUUGACCUCAUAGACUUGCUUACCAUACCAAUGUGGUCCUCCAUGUAAGCACGCGCCGGUGCCAUCAAAGCAGUAUAAAGAGGGCCCGAUACACCUGAGGGCGAAUGAAGAAGAAAUGAAAUGUCGCGGAGAAGCUCCCCAUUCCCUGAUAGGACGAAUGAGAUCGCUCCCGAUUUCGGAUGAUCAGGCAACACAAGCCUUCACCUGAAGCCUA
rnacentral:lncRNA from 1 species